rnacentral:lncRNA from 1 species
UAAAAACCAUACCUGUAGUGUCGCACUUCUCACUUCAGUAUUAUGUAGUUAAAAAUGUAUCAAGUUAGUUUUCUAUGAUUUCAUUUUUAUUUUUUCAUCAACUUUUUCAUUAAUAUUUCGUUAAAUUAUAUACAAAAAACUUUAAAUUUUCUAUCUAGAUUUAUUGAAUAUUCACUUUAGUAUUCUUUAGUUUUAACUUUGUCACUCAUAUAAUGAAAAAAAUUAGUAGAAUCGAUAAUAAACCUUAAACCCUAAAUCAACAAAAAAAUCACAUGACACUAAAUUGAUACACUUUAAACCACAAGGUGUGAAACAACCGGGGUGGAAUUUAAAGUUUUUCCUAAAUUAAAAUCCAAAGGCUAAAUUGCAUUUUGGUCCUCAAACUAUGAAGCGCAUAACACUUCGAUCCUCAAAUGUUAAUUUGUUAUAAUUUCAAGUCGGAAUACUUUAGUUAUUGCAAUUAAGUCCUAUAGUAUAAUUUAGUUGGUUAAAUAAUAAUAUAUCGUUUAUGUGGUAAUGAUACAACAGUAUGAGUUGUACCGACUGUCCCUAGCGCAAGUGGCAAAGGGUUUGGCUGUUGGUAUCCGAGGUCCCGAGUUCGAAUCCGAAUUGAUUCACAUAUUCAGCUAAGUUUAUUUUUAAAUGAAAUAAACGAAACGGAUAGCAUGCUAUCUAUCUCUCUCAAAAACAAAAAAAAGAUACAACAGUAUGAAAUUUAAUUGCAAUAAUUUAAAAAGUUGAAUCAAAAGUUAUAAUAUAUUAAAAUUUGAGAAAUGAAAUGUCACUAGUUUAUAGUUUGGGGAUCAAUAGUGCAAUUUAGCCAAAUCCACAUCUAAACUCUCCUACUAAUUGAUCUCUCAUUACAGCCUGUUUCAGAGCCCAUAACCCCCACGAGCUCUCAAAUAUUUUAAUUUAAAAAAAAUAAAAAACAAAUAAAACAAUCACAACAUUAAGCAAAAACCUUAAAAAAUGUUAAAACCAUUUCCUCCCAUCUCCAUCAUCAUCUACAUAAUAUAUAUAACCAAAAACUCUAACUUCGUUUUCUCUGACCGUCGCGAAUGAUCUCUCUGUUUCUUUGGUCCAAAUGAAGCAGAGAUAAGAGAAAAAAAAAAAAAAAAAAAAAUUCAGCAGAGAAAGAGGAGCCACAUCGCAAUGCCUAACUAUUCUAAGUUGCUUCUCUUCUGCUUGUUCUUGUCCGUGACCUUGUUCUUCUCCUGCAAUGCAGGAGGGGCCGCGAGCAGCUUUGACGAGACGUNAAAACAAUAGGUUAAAAAUGUUAAACUAUAGACUUGAAUACUAAAUUCUUUUAACUGUCUUAAAUUUUAAUCGGCGCUAUGCUAUAAUAAAUUUUUUAGUUAGCUUAAUUUGCAGACUCAUGUAUAACAUCAUCCUGCUUAGAUAAUUCACUUAAAAAAAAGAAAAAAAAAAAAGAAGAUGAAUCCAAUAAUGCAUAUGUGGGAAUGAAUCCUCUCCUAGGGCUUCUAUAGCCCCAGUAGUUCUACAAAAGGAGAUAAAAAUUUAUAAUAAAAAAGGACUAUUUCAAGUGUCAGAUGACUCUGUACUUUUCAACUAGGUUUGUUCUAGGAGUUCAAAAAAAAAAAAAAAUUUAUAUUUUCCCAAAACUUCCAUUAAUAUUUCUUUUUGUUUAAAAGGGCAUGUGAGAAAGUGUAUAAUUAAAGAGCCAAAUUUUUUAUUGUUGUUGUAUAAAUAGAUUAUUUAAGGAGUCUCUGAUGUAAACAGCAGUGGAUUCAGAGGAAUUAUUAGUGCUUUUUGUAAAAGCAGAUUUAACAUCUGAAAAAAGUCAAAUCACCUUUUUUUUUUAAGUCCCUAUAAUUGUUAUUUAAGUUGGGUUUAGUAAAAUUAUUUAGUAGCUUUCUAUUAAAUUAAGCCCUUUUAAUUUCUAUGCAAGAUAUGUAUGUUAUCUAACAACUUCAAGAUCAAGCAAGUGUUUCACUCAAGAAAGUAUCCACUUAAUGCUAAGUAUUUGUUCGGCCCGCUUUAAUUUGUAUUUUUAGUUACUGAAUCUGUAAUGUGGUAUUUUUCAAAUAGAAAAAUUUAAAAUUUUUGUUACGAUGAGAGGUAAAUAUAUGAUUUGGACGCUCUAAAAUUUUUUUAGUGAAUUAUAGUGUAGUGUUUGUUGAAUAAUAUUGUACUCUAAAGUAAGACCAAAUAGAUCAUCAGUAUAUUUUCACACUUUUCACAGUUAUUUUCUUUCCACCCUAAACCAAAAAGUUAACCUAAUAGUCUCUAUGUAACUUUGCUAUGAAAACUUUAAGAAAAGAGCUUUAUUAUUAGCUUCAAUCUUCAUCAAGUAGGUUAAAAAAGCUUAAUAAACUCUCUCUCUCUCUCUCACACACAAAAGAAGAUGAAAAGGACAACCUCAACUCAUAUGAUAGCACAUUCUAUCCACAUUUGAUGUUUGGAACAUGUCUCCAAUUAAAUUAAAGGAUAAACUUUAAAAACCAUACCUGUAGUGUCGCACUUCUCACUUUAAUAUUUGUAGUUAAAAAUGUAUCAAGUUAGUUUUCUAUGGUUUCAUUUUUAUUUUUUCGUCAACUUUUUCAUUAAUAUUUUUUGUUAAAUUAUAUACAAAAAACUUUAAAUUUUCUAUCUAGAUUUAUUGAAUAUUCACUUUAGUAUCCUUUAGUUUUAACUUUGUCACUGAUGUAACAAAAAAAAUUAAUAGAAUCGAUAAUAAACCCUAAACCCUAAAUCAACAUAAAACUACAUGACACUAAAUUGAUACACUUUAAACCACAAGGUGUGAAACCACCGGGGUGGAAUUUAAAGUUUUUCCUAAAUUAAAAUCCAAAGGCUAAAUUGCAUUUUGGUCCUCAAACUAUGAAGCGCGUAACACUUCGAUCCUCAAACGUUAAUUUGUUAUAAUUUCAAGUCGGAAUACUUUAGUUAUUGUAAUUAAGUCCUAUAGUAUAAUUUAGUUGGUUAAAUAAUAAUAUAUCGUUUAUGUGAUAAUGAUACAACAGUAUGAGUUGUACCGACUGUCCCUAGCGCAAGUGGCAAAGGGUUUGACGGUUGGUAUCCGAGGUCCCGAGUUCGAAUCCUAGUUGAUUCACAUAUUCAGCUAAAUUUAUUUUUAAAUGAAAUAAACGAAACGGAUAGCAUGCUAUCUAUCUCUCUCAAAAACAAAGAAAGAUACAACAGUAUGAAAUUUAAUUGCAAUAAUUUAAAAAGUUGAAUCAAAAGUUAUAGUAUAUUAAAAUUUGAGAAAUGAAAUGU